UAACGGGAACUCUCUGGAUGCACUUUCCGGUUUUUUUGCUCCGGGUGUUACUCCUCAUCUGUUUCCGGAGAAA
rnacentral:snoRNA from 1 species